rnacentral:rRNA from 1 species
AGCUCCAAUAGCGUAUAUUAAAGUUGUUGCAGUUAAAAAGCUCGUAGUUGGAUUUGUGGCUGUCGCAUGCGGCCCGCAUUCGUGCGGUGUUUGCUAGCGUCGCCAUCCUUGGGUGGAACCUGUGUGGCAUUAGGUUGUCGUGCAGGGGAUGCCCAUCGCUUACUGUGAAAAAAUUAGAGUGUUCAAAGCAGGCUUACGCCGUUGAAUAUAUUAGCAUGGAAUAAUAAGAUAGGACCUUGGUACUAUUUUGUUGGUUUGCGCACCAAGGUAAUGAUUAAUAGGGACAGUUGGGGGUAUUCGUAUUCCAUUGUCAGAGGUGAAAUUCUUGGAUUUUUGGAAGACGAACUACUGCGAAAGCAUUUACCAAGGAUGUUUUCA